rnacentral:rRNA from 1 species
UUCUUUGAACGCAAGUUGCGCCCGAAGCCAUUCCGGCCGAGGGCACGCCUGCCUGGGCGUCGUGAGACCCCCUGCCCCCGGGCACCCUAGCCGCACCGGCGGGGACGUGCCCGGGCGCGGAAUAUGGACUCCCGCGGGUUCGGCUCGCGCGGCGGGUCGAGGCGCGGUUGGCCGAAAAUCGAGCACGGCCGCGACGGGCCCCACGGCGAUCGGUGGAUCGAGCGAGAUUGGCUGCGUCGUGGGCUCGGCAUGCGGAGGGCUCCGGACUUUGACGAUCCCAAGCGCGAUCCCAGGUCAGGCGGGGCUACCCGCUGAGUUUAAGCAUAUCAAUAAGCGGAGGAAAAGAAACUAACGAGGAUUCCCUUAGUAGCGGCGAGCGAACCGGGAAGAGCCC